GAUGAACGCUGGCGGCGUGCCUAAUACAUGCAAGUCGAGCGAACGGACGAUAAGCUUGCUUCUCUCAUGUUAGCGGCGGACGGGUGAGUCACACGUGGAUACCCUCCCUAUCUGACUGGGAUAACUUCGUGAAACCGGCUCUAAUGCCGUAUAAUAUUUUGAACCGCAUGGUUCAAAAGUGAAAGACGGUCUUUCUGUCUCUUCUAGAUGGAUACGAGCUGCAUUAUUUAGUUGGUAAGGUAACGGCUUACCAAGGCAACGAUGCAUAGCCGACCUGAUAGGGGGAUCGGCCACACAGAAACUGAGACACGACCCAGACACUGACGGAAGGCAGAAACAGGUAAGCUACAGAAAAGUGCGAAAGACUGACGGAGCAACGCAGCGCGAAUGAAGAAGCUCUGCGUAUCGUAAAACUCUUUUAUUAGUGAAAAACAUAUUUGUAAGUAACGAUGCACAUCUGAACGUAACCGAAACAGAAAGCCACGGUAAACUAAUG
rnacentral:rRNA from 1 species